GCAGUGGUGGUUCGGUGGUAGAAUUCUCACCUUCCAGGUGGAAGACCCCAGUUUGAGUCCUGGCCAAUGCA
rnacentral:tRNA from 1 species